GGGGACGUAGCUCAGUUGGCAGAGCACCUGCUUUGCAAGCAGGGGGUCGUGGGUUCGAUUCCCAUCGUCUCCA
rnacentral:tRNA from 2 species